rnacentral:rRNA from 1 species
UUCGGAUUGCAGUCUGCAACUCGACUGCAUGAAGGCGGAAUCGCUAGUAAUCGCGGAUCAGCAUGCCGCGGUGAAUACGUUCCCGGGCCUUGUACACACCGCCCGUCACACCAUGGGAGUGGAUUGCACCAGAAGUGGGUGGGCCAACCUUCGGGAGGCAGCCCCCUAAGGUGUGAUUCAUGACUGGGGUGAAGUCGUAACAAGGUAGCCGUAGGGGAACCUGCGGCUGGAUCACCUCCUUU